AACGAACGCUGGCGGCAGGCCUAACACAUGCAAGUCGAGCGCCCUUUCGGGGGAGCGGCGGACGGGUGAGUAACGCGUGGGAAUAUGCCCUUCUCUACGGAAUAGCCUCGGGAAACUGAGAGUAAUACCGUAUACGCCCUGUGGGGGAAAGAUUUAUCGGGGAAGGAUUAGCCCGCGUUGGAUUAGGUAGUUGGUGGGGUAAUGGCCUACCAAGCCGACGAUCCAUAGCUGGUUUGAGAGGAUGAUCAGCCACACUGGGACUGAGACACGGCCCAGACUCCUACGGGAGGCAGCAGUGGGGAAUCUUAGACAAUGGGGGCAACCCUGAUCUAGCCAUGCCGCGUGAGUGAUGAGGGCCUUAGGGUUGUAAAGCUCUUUCAGCUGGGAAGAUAAUGACGGUACCAGCAGAAGAAGCCCCGGCUAACUCCGUG
rnacentral:rRNA from 1 species